rnacentral:lncRNA from 1 species
AUGUUGCAAGCCACACAUGCAUCCGGCCUCUAGGAGUCAUCCACACGAGCCCACGAAUCUCGAUCAGAAGUCCUGCUUCAGGAAAUCAGCACAGUAUGCUAGUACUAUGCUGAUCCUUCUUUGUGGUUGAUCAGGUGCCUCCUUCUUCUUGAUUUGGACUCUUCCAAAGAUGAAAAGUAGAAGGAGGAGUUUCAGAUCUGAGACACUCUCAGGAAACUCAAGAUGGAGGGAGGAAAGAUAUGAAAACAAAAACCCUAGAAGAAGAUCCUCUUCUUCUUCACGUUUUUCUCUCUAGACACCCAAACUUGCAUCUUUUAUAUCUCCAUGACCCAAAGG